GUGCUUGCUUUGACAGCACAUAUACUAAAAUUGAGCAAUACAGAGAAGAUUCACACGGUCCUGCAUGAGGAUAACAUGAAAAUUUGUGAAGCUUAUAUAUUUUUA
rnacentral:snRNA from 1 species